ensembl:antisense
AAUCUCAAGGAAGCUCUUUGGGAGCCAGGAUUCCCAGCACUUAGCUGGUGGGCAAAGGGGCUCAACCCCUUCCCCACAUCCCACCUUCCCUCCUCCCAGUCUUCGGGAUUGCGGAGCUCCUGCCGGGAUCCAAGAGCAGGCUCUUGGAGGUCGAAGAAGGAUAUAACCUCCAGACCUGGAAUUUAAGACGCAAGAACCAGCCAGCAAAAGUGGCAGCUGAGCAUGCGAGGCAAGCAAUCACAGCCAACGUUCCUGGGAUCUGUGACCUAUUCAUCUUUCUAAGGGGACAGGGGACUGCUGAUGGCUUUUUAUUAGGAAGCUAUGCAACUUGAGGUUCUACUGAAAAGGAGAAGAGGCCACUGGAGAUGGGAAGCCACGAAAACACACCUGGAGAUUGAAAGACUGAGUCAACUCCCCAGCACUGGGGAGGUCUGAAUCCUGCCCCCCAGCAACAGCCUCAAAGAGUCAUCGUUAGAGAGCCUGCAUAGUCCGCUGGGACCACUCGAGGUCCUAAAGGGUCACUUCUCUUGUCUUCCAGAACCGCUGUGAAGCUACAGAAGCGAAGUAGCUCUCCAGGGCACUGAAAAGCAUCAAAAGAUGUUCUUCCCCAGUGUGCACAUUGGGUCUCACUUGUGAUAUCAACAGUACUGAUGUUUAAGAAAAGCCUGCGAUUGGUGGUGGGAGUAAGGAGCCUUGCUCACACUUACAGCCUGAUGUAUCUGUUCCAGUUUUGUUUUUCAUGGCUCUAGAGAAGUGGGUCCCCCUUAUUUGGGGUCCUGGUAUGUAUGGCAGCUGCAAGAGGUGACACGUGGGAUUAAACAGAAUAAUUAGGUACUUAAUCAUUUAUUCAUCUGUGAAAGUUCUAAGCUUAGAGUUAUUGUGUAAAACCAUUCUUUUGGAAAUAGCUUCAGUGUUGUGUGUGUAUAUGAUAAACAUAUGCAAACAUUUAGCCAUAUUCACAUACAGGUUGGACAUCUCUAAUCUGAACAUGUAACAUUAAGAGAAAAAAAAGCUUCAACUCCCGAAAGGUUUUGAACGGCAACAAAAUUAGACAAGUGGAAGAUUUAAUAACUGACCUCAUAUGGGUCAAUGAAACUUUGUUUCAUGUACAAAAUUAUUAAAAUACUGUACAAAAUUACCUACAAAUAAUGUGUGUGCAUAUCUAUAUAUUCAUAUAAACACAAAUGGAUUUUGAGUUAAAACUCAUAUUCCAUACAUAAGCUAUUUCAUUAUAAGUAGUCCAAAAUCUGAAAAAAGUUCAAAAUCCAAAAACUGUCUCCUCUUUCUUCUUCUUCUUCUUCUUCUUCUUCUUCUUCUUCUUCUUCUUCUUCUUCUUCUUCUUCUUCUUCUUCUUCUUCUNNNNNNNNNNNNNNNNNNNGCUGUCCUGGAAGUCACUUUGUAGACCAGACUGGCCUUGAACUCAGAAAUCUGCCUGCCUCUGCCUCCCGAGUGCUGGGAUUAAAGGCGUGCACCACCACGCCCGGCAAAACUGUCUCUUCUUAAGCUUUUGGAUAAAGAGAGUCUUAAACUGUAUAGAUUUCUAGAUUUUAACACAGUAGCUACUAGCCUAUUCCACACGUAUUUCUUGUAUUCAGCUCUUAUCCUAACUCUGUGAAAGUAUUACUAUCAUGGUAUGUAGCAAACGUGGAAGGACUGACUAGUAUACAAGAAAGACCCAAAGUAUCUGAUGAAUGACCACUGGACACUUUAUAGUAUUUAUGAAUGGAUGGAACCAACUUUCAGUUCAUCCCAACCACACCAGUUAGCACUUCAAGUCAUUUGUGGGACAUAUCCAUCAUUGCAAGGGUCCUGUUGGUCAGCACUGGAGACCCUAGGUCAAGUUAGUUCACCAGUGAUACUAUGUGUCCUCUUAUGUACAGAGUGGUGUUCCUAUGCUCGAGAGAAUGCUGAGCAGCCAGCAGUCACUGGUCACGGUAGUGCCAUUCCCAAACGGGAACAAUCAGAAACAUUUCCAGACAAUGCGCAUUGAUUGUUGGGAAAGGAAAAAGAAUUUCCCCUAGUUGAGAAUGAAUGCUCUGUUCUCAACCUAGUGGUUGUAAUCUGACAGAGGACUCAUGUAAGUAGCUUUAAAUACUUUGAACUGAAAUUUCCUCACUGAAAAAAUAUAACACACAAUUUCUUGGUGUUUUGUGACUGUUAAAAACUCUGAUAAUUUGCCAGAGAGGGAAAGUACAGUAAAGAUUAGAACACAGCCCUUUGUCUCUAGCUGAAGAACUCUGCUUUGGCUAAUAUGGCAAGUGGAAGCUUUGAGACAACAAGCUCUGUUGUCUCCUCACUUGCUCCGUGACUUUAGGCCCCCAUGUUUAAAUAACUCAAGGACUGAGAAAAUGACGUUUCAUUAAUUGUUUAGAUAUCAAACUCUGGGGAUUUGGAAUCCUUAAAAGAUUCUAUAUGAAAAAAGUCACAUGGAAAUCUAGUGCUAGAAAAGCUUCCUAAAAAUACAAACACACACACACACACACACACACACACACACACACACAGGACCUGCAAAUCUGGAACUAGCUGUUUGCCACCCCAGGGCCCGCUUACUAUAUGUGUACAGUAUGGGACACUUAGCUGCUGCCUGAGAGCUCCUCCAUUCUAGUCAUCAGCCCAGUCAUGAAUGUUUCAUUCUGCACACUAAUCUACAUAGAUUUUUUUUUAAAAUAGAAGGCAAUUAACCAAAAGUUUCUAGACAAACAUCAUUUUUCUAGGUUUCUUGUUCAUCAAAAAAAAAAUCUUAAUUAUUUUGAAAAAGGAAGCUGCCAUUAUGAAUCAAUGGAACCAUCCUAACACCAAUAAGCCCAAGCUAAGAAUGAUGUCAAAAAUGGUCUCAAAGGAAGAACUCUCUAAAUUAGUGCUAUUGGAGGGAAAGACAAUUGAAAAUUAAUAAAAUACUUUAAUUAAAAUAUGAGUU